rnacentral:rRNA from 1 species
GAUGAACGCUGGCGGCGUGCCUAAUACAUGCAAGUCGAACGCGCAGCGAAAGGUGCUUGCACCUUUCAAGCGAGUGGCGAACGGGUGAGUAACACGUGGAUAACCUGCCUCAAGGCUGGGGAUAACAUUUGGAAACAGAUGCUAAUACCGAAUAAAACUUAGUAUCGCAUGAUACAAAGUUAAAAGGCGCUACGGCGUCACCUAGAGAUGGAUCCGCGGUGCAUUAGUUAGUUGGUGGGGUAAAGGCUUACCAAGACGAUGAUGCAUAGCCGAGUUGGGAGACUGAUCGGCCACAUUGGGACUGAGACACGGCCCAAACUCCUACGGGAGGCUGCAGUAGGGAAUCUUCCACAAUGAGCGCAAGCCUGAUGGAGCAACGCCGCGUGUGUGAUGAAGGCUUUCGGGUCGUAAAGCACUGUUGUAUGGGAAGAAAUGCUAAAAUAGGGAAUGAUUUUAGUUUGACGGUACCAUACCAGAAAGGGACGGCUAAAUACGUGCCAGCCGCCGCUGUAA